UUAGUUUCUGAGUUUCAAUUUGAAUUAAUUAGGUGAUGGAAAAUGAACUUAACUAUGGAAUGUAGGAUUAUCAGUUUUAGCUAGUUUCAAAAUGGUGGUCCUUAGUUGAAUUUCCGUGUGCACUUAAUUUGAAUUUUCUUUUUACAAUGAUCGUGAUGCAGGUGCUUGCACUUGUAAAUUGGAUGAGUUUUUCAAUUUAUUACUGUUAGCAUAUUAGUUUGAAUCAAAACAAGCCAAGUCAGUAUGUUGCUUAUCUCUCAUGGCCAAUGCUAAGGUCCUGCUAUCCUUGUUUGUCUUCACAUGUGUUGUUAGUAAUCCUUGGCCACAGUUAAUUGAUCAAUUUGGAUUUAAACUUGCUUGGCAUUUAAUACUAAAUCCCAUCUAUCGACUGUUGCUACUGUUUGAACUGUUUUUUUUUUGCAUUUGGAAAUGAAGUUAAUGUUAGUAACCAAAUCUGGAAGUUAGUUAAAGAAAAUGAAAUGGGUUAGCUUAUUAGGACAAAUAGAAUUUAUGCAAUUAGUUUUAUUAGUGUUGGUUAAGUUAGCUGCUCAGUUGAGCAAAAUUCAUUGAGUUAAACCGGACCCAUCUAGCAUUCCACUUUUCCAUUUCCUGAAUUCCUUGUUACUGCAUGCUCUAACUUGGACUGCUAGGUAUGGAGGGUUUAUACCCAUGGUUUCCAGACUGCUCCGUGCAUUUGACCUUGGUGCUUGUAUUGUUUUGGUAUGUGAUUUAUUGUAUUGCAUGAUGGCAUUUGCUAGCAGGUCUUGACAUGGUUUUGUGAACUAAUCAUGAUGUGUUGCAGAUCUAUGGUAUGGUUAGGCUUUGCUCAUGUUUUGGACAUAGUUCUACAUAUGCUGCUUAUGGGUUCUGAUUUGUGGUUUAUGUCAUGUCUUGAUGUAGGGUUUGUAUAGUAUGCAUUGUUCUGACUUGGCCUUGAUGAUGGUAAGCUUUUGAUGGAUUACAUUGUAUGCUACUUGUGUUAUAUUAUGAUGCUUGGUUCAUUGCUUGACAUGAAGAUGCGAUGUUACCGCAUGUUGUUUGGAUAGCUUGGUUCAUAAUUGCUAUGCAUUAGUGGGAUUAGGCAUGAUGGCAAGAUGGAAUAAGGCAACAACCUAAGCAUGACUAGGCCAACCAACCAAGUUCAAAACAUAUUGAUCACAACAUGGAAAAACCAAGUUCACAUAACCACCUCAAGAAUAAGAAUGUUGGAUGCAAAUAGAGCUAAGACUAGUCAUUUAGUUAUUAGGGAUGCAAAAUGCCAUAGGUUGACUUUGGUCAAAGUUAACCAAAAAGUCAACUAUUGACCAAAGUCAUCCAUUAGUCAACAUGUGAUUUUUCUUGAAUUUCUUGAUAUGUAAUGAACAUUUUUGUGUGCUAAUGAAUGAAAUUGGCCAUUUUGAAUGAAAAAAUGAAUGAAUUGAACAUAUGAGCAUGUUUCUUGAUUUUGACUUUGAAUAAACAUGAUUUGUAAUGAAAUGGAUUUAAG
rnacentral:lncRNA from 1 species